rnacentral:rRNA from 1 species
AGAGUUUGAUCCUGGCUCAGGACGAACGCUGGCGGCGCGCCUAACACAUGCAAGUCGAACGGAGAUUACAGGCGGAAGUUUUCGGAUGGAAGCUUGUAAACUUAGUGGCGGACGGGUGAGUAACACGUGAGCAACCUGCCUAUCAGAGGGGGAUAACGAUUGGAAACGAUCGCUAAUACCGCAUGACAUAGCGGAAUCGCAUGGUUCUGUUAUCAAAGAUUUUAUCGCUGAUAGAUGGGCUCGCGUCCGAUUAGAUAGUUGGUGGGGUAACGGCCUACCAAGUCGACGAUCGGUAGCCGGACUGAGAGGUCGAACGGCCACACUGGGACUGAGACACGGCCCAGACUCCUACGGGAGGCAGCAGUGGGGGAUAUUGCACAAUGGGGGAAACCCUGAUGCAGCGACGCCGCGUGAGGGAAGACGGUCCUCUGGAUUGUAAACCUCUGUCUUCGGGGACGAAACGAGACGGUACCCGAGGAGGAAGCCACGGCUAACUACGUGCCAGCAGCCGCGGUAAUACGUAGGUGGCAAGCGUUGUCCGGAAUUACUGGGUGUAAAGGGAGCGUAGGCGGGCAGGCAAGUCAGGCGUGAAAUAUAUCGGCUCAACCGGUAACGGCGCUUGAAACUGCAGGUCUUGAGUGAAGUAGAGGUUGGCGGAAUUCCUAGUGUAGCGGUGAAAUGCGUAGAUAUUAGGAGGAACACCAGUGGCGAAGGCGGCCAACUGGGCUUUUACUGACGCUGAGGCUCGAAAGUGUGGGGAGCAAACAGGAUUAGAUACCCUGUAGUCCACACUGUAAACGAUGAUUACUAGGUGUUGGAGGAUUGACCCCUUCAGUGCCGCAGUUAACACAAUAAGUAAUCCACCUGGGGAGUACGACCGCAAGGUUGUAACUCAAAGGAAUUGACGGGGGCCCGCACAAGCAGUGGAGUAUGUGGUUUAAUUCGACGCAACGCGAAGAACCUUACCAAGUCUUGACAUCCUGCGACGCACAUAGAAAUAUGUGUUUCCUUCGGGACGCAGAGACAGGUGGUGCAUGGUUGUCGUCAGCUCGUGUCGUGAGAUGUUGGGUUAAGUCCCGCAACGAGCGCAACCCUUAUGGUCAGUUACUACGCAAGAGGACUCUGGCCAGACUGCCGUUGACAAAACGGAGGAAGGUGGGGAUGACGUCAAAUCAUCAUGCCCUUUAUGACUUGGGCUACACACGUACUACAAUGGCGUUAAACAAAGAGAAGCAAGACCGCGAGGUGGAGCAAAACUCAGAAACAACGUCCCAGUUCGGACUGCAGGCUGCAACUCGCCUGCACGAAGUCGGAAUUGCUAGUAAUCGCAGAUCAGCAUGCUGCGGUGAAUACGUUCCCGGGCCUUGUACACACCGCCCGUCACACCAUGAGAGCCGGGGGGACCCGAAGUCGGUAGUCUAACCGCAAGGAGGACGCCGCCGAAGGUAAAACUGGUGAUUGGGGUGAAGUCGUAACAAGGUA